UAGAGGCGUAAGGACCUUUUGAGUUUAGAAAAUGAGGCCAAUGGGGACGUGUGUGUACUCUCCAUGUGUCAAUCUGUGUGUGUGUGUUUUCUGUGUGAGUGUGUGAAUGAGUUUCAUUUUAAAAGCUGUUUCCGGGGGGGACUGAGUGUGUGUUCACCCCACUGUUCAGUCCAUAGCUGCCUAGGCAGAUGUAAACAUCAAGUCACCACUGCUCUUAUGCAGUCGGAUCCAAGGUGACCAGAAGAUCAGUGAAGAGGAACCAUGGAGCCAAGAGGUCAGGUGGUGUCGUCCUGCAGGCUGUUUCCUGCUCUACUGAUGGCAGCAUGGAUCGUUGGCUGCAUGGUGGUAGUCUAUUUUGUCUUCGCCUAGAAGAGACGUCUAGUCCUUGUGCUUCAUGUUGGAACUCACCUCCUGACGACAGGAAGCUGAAUAGAAGAAAGCAAAGCACCAAGAAAACUGUUUUUCUGUCUUAGCAAUUAUGUACGUUGUGCAUGUCUGUAAAUAAUAGGCAGAAUCUACCGGCACGCCCAAAUGACUCUUAGGCCUAGAUUCAAUCAGAUCACGCGUUUGAUCAUGUUUUGUGCGUUGGAGUUGUCAAAUCGGUGAGCGGCUGCUCUUGUGAUCAUUGUCAUGAAGCCACACCCGCCCCACUCACGGUGGAAGUUCAGAACAAGACUGUGUAGGUUAUAUAGAACUAAUGAAGCUCGAAUAGAAAACCAUGAUUUCUAUCAGCAUAAUGGAGGUGUGUGUAGAUUACAUCACACAUUCCA